AUUGAACGCUGGCGGCAGGCUUAACACAUGCAAGUCGAGCGAGCGGCGGACGGGUGAGUAAUGUCUGGGAAACUGCCUGAUGGAGGGGGAUAACUACUGGAAACGGUAGCUAAUACCGCAUACCAUCAGAUGUGCCCAGAUGGGAUUAGCGAGUAGGUGGGGUAAUGGCUCACCUAGGCGACGAUCCCUAGCUGGGCUGAGAGGCUGACCGGCCACACUGGAACUGAGACACGGUCCAGACUCCUACGGGAGGCAGCAGUGGGGAAUAUUGCACAAUGGGCGCAAGCCGGAUGCAGCAAUGCCGCGUGUGUGAAGAAGGCCUUCGGGUUGUAAAGCACUGUUAGUGGGGAGGCGUUACUCGCAGAAGAAGCACCGGCUAACUCCGUGCCAGCAGCCGCGGUAAUUC
rnacentral:rRNA from 1 species